UAUAGGUAAGCAACUUGAAGAAAAUUUUAAAAGGAAUAAUGGAUUAUAACCAUGAGAUUCUAGGGCAACAGAUUAAUGACUUCACUCUUCCUGAUGUUAACCUGAUUGGAGAGCACUCUGAUGCUGCAGAGCUUGGGAGAAUGCUUCAGCUUAUUUUGGGAUGUGCUGUGAAUUGUGAACAGAAGCAAGGUAUUAAAUUUUGAAAGUAUGUUUUGCUUCUAGGGUAGUUAAUGAAAAUCUAACUUACUUUUUAAAUCACUGAGGGAAAAUGAUACGCUGCUAUGAGACACAAGUUUACUUUUUCUAAAUCAUAAUACUACUUUAUUUUACAGGCAAUAAGUGAUGUUAUAUUAUGAGCUUUACUAAGCGUACAGGCUGGAAAUGUGGAAUUGGUUUUGCUUUCAAUAUGCAUAUUUUUAGUUUGGGUUCCCUGAGCUGAAAAGGGAAUUCACAAAUGAAAAGUCUCGCCCCCAACCUUUAACUAUUCAUGUGUGAGGUAGCUCUGUGAAGUGAAGAAUCAACAAAUGUAAUUUACACAUCCUUCGCUGUGACCCUUGCAUUCAGGAAUGUAUCCCAGUAUCUUAAUGCAUGUCAGAGAGCCUUCAUUGUCACCACAUGCCAUCUACUGACAAUUGAGACACUAGGGUUUCUGAGACUUCUGCACAGGGUUAGCACUGGAGUAUGGGAGAUAGUGCACUUCUGCACCAGUAGCUGGAGUCCAGGCAGGAUAUCCCAAGGACAUCUAAACUCUCACUAGAGGCCUAUAUUUAAGCUACUAAAUACCACCUCAGCAGUUAGUGGAAAACACUUCUGUCUCCUCUGGCUUCUGUGGUGCCAGUUCCUUACCUGACCUACAAAGUAAAAUGGGGACCCAUUCUGUUUCUCGCCAUAUAUGGCAGAGUAUUUGCUAAAUGGUAAAAGCAUUUCUUAAGGUGUUCCAGGGCCCUUGUCACAUCCUUGGGUGUGUGAUGUCUUAUUGCUAUCCAGUUCCCUUAAAUUAUGUUUAACUCCAGUUGAAUUCAGGUAAAAAUACAAAAAGUAAUUCAUAACACUUAAAAUCACAGAAUCGCAGAAUGGUUGAGGUUGGAAGGGACCUCCGGAGGUCAUAAAGUCCAAUGUCCCUGAUCAAGCAGGGCCACCUAGAGAUGGUUCCCAGGAUCAUGUGCAGAUGGCUUUUGAACAUCCCCAUGUAUGGAGAUUACACAACCUCUCGGGGCAACCUGUUUCAGUGCUCAGUCACCCUCACAGUAAAAAAGGGUUUCCUGAUGUUCAGAUGGAACCUCCUGU